UACGUAGGUGGCAAGCGUUGUCCGGAUUUACUGGGUGUAAAGGGCGUGUAGGCGGGAUAGCAAGUCAGAUGUGAAAUUCCGGGGCUUAACCCCGGCGCUGCAUCUGAAACUGUUAUUCUUGAGUGUCGGAGAGGAAAGUGGAAUUCCCAGUGUAGCGGUGAAAUGCGUAGAGAUUGGGAGGAACACCAGUGGCGAAGGCGGCUUUCUGGACGAUAACUGACGAUGAGGCGCGAAAGAGUGGGGAGCAAACAGG
rnacentral:rRNA from 1 species